UACGGGAGGCAGCAGUGGGGAAUAUUGCACAAUGGGCGCAAGCCUGAUGCAGCCAUGCCGCGUGUAUGAAGAAGGCCUUCGGGUUGUAAAGUACUUUCAGUCGUGAGGAAGGUGUUAAGGUUAAUAACCUUAGCAAUUGACGUUAGCGACAGAAGAAGCACCGGCUAACUCCGUGCCAGCAGCCGCGGUAAUACGGAGGGUGCGAGCGUUAAUCGGAAUUACUGGGCGUAAAGGGCACGCAGGCGGUUAAUUAAGUUGGAUGUGAAAUCCCCGGGCUUAACCUGGGAAUGGCAUUCAAGACUGGUUAGCUAGAGUCUUGUAGAGGGGGUAGAAUUCCAUGUGUAGCGGUGAAAUGCGUAGAGAUGUGGAGGAUACCGGUGCGAAGGCGGCCCCUGGACAAAGACUGACGCUCAUGUGCGAAAGCGUGGGGAGCGAAACAGGGAUUAGAUACC
rnacentral:rRNA from 1 species